GGCCUGGAUCAGCAAUGGAAUACCUGGACAGGUAACUCUUGUAAAUAUGAAUCCAGCUGACUGCUGACCACCAGGCAGAGGAUGGCUUGCAAUCCAAGGCUUCCUGUUUUCAAGACUCUCUUAAAUCUUCUGUUGUGAUCACUGGUGAAGUGUAUGGAGAAGAGCUACAAGUAGAUUCAAGUUUCUACUGCAUCUGCACCCUCAGGAGUCCUCUAUUCUCCUGAGAUCCAUCUCUUGGCCCCAACAGUUUUUGCUGACUUCUUAACCAGGGUCUGGCAGCAUCUAUCCCAGCGAUGGGAUGCUGCCAUUUUGGAGAGGUCUCAGCCAGUGAUGAAGAGUGGUCACAUGUAGGGAAAGUUUGGUGUGAUGAUUAUGGCAACUAGGACCAGUGCUGAAGCUAUCACCUCUCCUACUGCCAGCAUUGUGCAAUGGUGUGCAAUGGUAUCAUCAGCCCACAAGACAGAAUGAUGAAGAAGAAAAGAAUUUAAAGGAAGAACUUGCAAUGCCAGCUUUGGAUUUGGGAAACUGGAUCUAAAAGUGUGUGCGUGCGAGGUGCCACCUGCAUUGCGCCUUGGCCGACUGCUGAUUGUUCGCCACGAUCUGGCACUAAUCCCAAGGAUUAAGUGAGCAUCUGCUCCCCAGUGCUAACAGCCGGAUGGAGCCAAGCCAUCUACAGAAUGAAUCAGUCUUCUCAAGCUAUGUGCCUGAAGGCUUAAACUCCGGGGAAAGUCAUCAGGGAUGUCCUUAACAGGCCACUGUCUGGAAGUAGAAAAAUACCAUAACUUUGUGGUGUGAUCAAAGUACAGUAAUGACGAUGAAGCAGAAGCCCUGAGUUCCUUAAGAGUAGAUGUCCUCCUUUUUAUUGCCUUCAUAGGGCUUAUGGGACUACUCCCGAAGCCCCUUCCUGAUGUAGAGCCAUCUGGGGUCCCUUUAAUUUUCCCAGUGGUGGUGUGGGACUGCAUGAUUCCAAAAUCAAUUAUUCCCCUAGCCUCUAUUGUACUUGUAAAUUAAUGGUUAAAAUGUGCUUGUUAGUUCUGGGAUAAUAGAAUCUGUAACGAAACAGAGUUCCUAUGUAAAAUUGCUCAACCCCUUGUUUGUCCGGAGAACGAAUGUUCCCGGGCCCACUACCUGUACAACAAUCCAUCAAUGUGUCUGCUGACCAUCAGUACGUGACGGUCGUGACCAUUAGUGUGUGUGUCUGCAGAUCAUCAGUAUGUGACAGUCGACCACUAACCUUUGUUCCUUUUUUAUCGUAAAUCUACAUGUUAACCUCCCCCCUCAACCCCCUAUAAAACAGCCUCG
rnacentral:lncRNA from 1 species